UACGGAGGGUGCGAGCGUUGUUCGGAAUUAUUGGGCGUAAAGCGCGCGCAGGCGGCUCUCUAAGUCCAUGGGUAAAAGGCCGGGGCUCAACCCCGUGUACGCCCAGGAUACUGGGGAGCUGGAGACACGUAGAGGCAAGCGGAAUUCCGGGUGUAGCGGUGGAAUGCGUAGAGAUCCGGAAGAACACCGGAGGCGAAGGCGGCUUGCUGGGCGUGAUCUGACGCUGAGGCGCGAAAGCGUGGGGAGCAAACAGG
rnacentral:rRNA from 1 species